UACGUAGGGCGCAAGCGUUGUCCGGAAUUAUUGGGCGUAAAGAGCUCGUAGGCGGUUUGUCGCGUCUGUCGUGAAAGCCCACGGCUUAACUGUGGGUCUGCGGUGGAUACGGGCAGACUAGAGGCAGGUAGGGGAGAAUGGAAUUCCCGGUGUAGCGGUGAAAUGCGCAGAGAUCAGGAGGAACACCGGUGGCGAAGGCGGGUCUCUGGGCCGAAACUGACGCUGAGGAGCGAAAGCGUGGGGAGCAAACAGG
rnacentral:rRNA from 1 species